rnacentral:rRNA from 1 species
UACGAAGGGUGCAAGCGUUAAUCGGAAUUACUGGGCGUAAAGCGUGCGUAGGCGGUUUGUUAAGUCUGUUGUGAAAUCCCCGGGCUCAACCUGGGAAUGGCAAUGGAUACUGGCAGGCUAGAGUGUGUCAGAGGAUGGUGGAAUUCCCGGUGUAGCGGUGAAAUGCGUAGAGAUGUGGAGGAAUACCGAUGGCGAAGGCAGCCCCCUGGGAUAACACUGACGCUCAUGCACGAAAGCGUGGGGAGCAAACAGG